CUUUGAUCAGGAGAAAUCUAACAGUUCUCUCCUCAGCUCUGUACCAUGUAUUUUUCAUUUUCUGUCCUAAGGCCCUAUAAUUCUUCAUUGUAUUCAUACAUGUGAAAGGACACUUUGUGUGGAAGGAGAGGAAACAUGAAGUGAAAAUAUACAUCAUCCUGGGAAUUGGCCAGUGGUCUGAUCAUCUGAGCAGGUGCUUGAAGGAAAAAACUGGAAGAUCAGAGAUAAGAAAGUCUGGAUAGAGAACUAACGCUGGGCGAAUAGAAGAUGGCAUAACAUGUGGAUAUUUCUACGUAACCAGAAAGAAGCUAUCCUGGAAGAAGCACUGAACAACCAAAUGGAAAGAAUGAUUAGUCUGCUUUCAUCAUAAGCAGUGUAGACUGGCAUAAUGGGUAGAUGAACGGAGUAUCCUUGGUGGCAGAUGUGGAGGCUAUGAAUGUGUCCCAUGGCAGGGACUCCAAUGUACCAAGGUCUGUCUAACUAAUGCUGUUGCCUCUAAGUGUCCACCCUGUCAAGAACAGAAUCUAUCACUGAGAUUUGGUAAAAUGUUCUUCUGCCUGCAGCACCAGGACUAAGAGAAUGCCUGCCUGGUUCCGGAUGGAGCAGCGCAAUGUAUGGCCAUUGCUGUAAAUGCACUGCUGCCAUACUAGAGCCCGAUCAAUCAGAAGCAGACCUAAAGGUCUUCUCUGAUGUCCAAGCAUGGGACACCCAGGGUGACCCAGUCAGCAUUCACACGGGCAAAGUCCAUAAGCGUAAAAGAGUUAAUGCCUGCAGGACCCCCCUUGACGAUAGGAGUUGGGAACGGAUGGAUGAAGCUUCGUCCUUUCAUUCUCUUGGCAGACAGUUCUACAACAUGUUUUCUAUGGCUCUUCAGAAUGUGCUAUGGGAUUGAGCACCAGUCAUGGUGGGCAACGUGAUAAAGCAUCCUUGUGUUAUCUCUUUUUCUAUUCAGUCCCACUGUCCUUCACCCUCAACUUGCUGAGAUCACUUUGCAAAUAAACUAUAUGGA
rnacentral:lncRNA from 1 species